UACGAAGGGUGCAAGCGUUACUCGGAAUUACUGGGCGUAAAGGGUGCGUAGGUGGUCGUUUAAGUCCGUUGUGAAAUCCCUGGGCUCAACCUGGGAAUGGCAGUGGAUACUGGACGGCUAGAAUGCGGUAGAGGGUAGUGGAAUUCCCGGUGUAGCGGUGAAAUGCGUAGAGAUCGGGAGGAACACCAGUGGCGAAGGCGGCUACCUGGACCAGCACUGACACUGAGGCACGAAAGCCAGGGGAGCAAACGGG
rnacentral:rRNA from 1 species